UUAUAUGAGAGUUUGAUCCUGGCUCAGGAUGAACGCCGGCGGUGUGCCUAAUACAUGCAAGUCGAACGCGUUGGCCCAAUUGAUUGAUGGUGCUUGCACCUGAUUGAUUUUGGUUGCCAGCGAGUGGCGGACGGGUGAGUAACACGUAGGUAACCUGCCCAGAAGCGGGGGACAACAUUUGGAAACAGAUGCUAAUACCGCAUAACAGCGUUGUUCGCAUGAACAACGCUUAAAAGAUGGCUUCUCGCUAUCACUUCUGGAUGGACCUGCGGUGCAUUAGCUUGUUGGUGGGGUAAUGGCCUACCAAGGCGAUGAUGCAUAGCCGAGUUGAGAGACUGAUCGGCCACAAUGGGACUGAGACACGGCCCAUACUCCUACGGGAGGCAGCAGUAGGGAAUCUUCCACAAUGGGCGCAAGCCUGAUGGAGCAACACCGCGUGAGUGAAGAAGGGUUUCGGCUCGUAAAGCUCUGUUGUUAAAGAAGAACACGUAUGAGAGUAACUGUUCAUACGUUGACGGUAUUUAACCAGAAAGUCACGGCUAACUACGUGCCAGCAGCCGCGGUAAUACGUAGGUGGCAAGCGUUAUCCGGAUUUAUUGGGCGUAAAGAGAGUGCAGGCGGUUUUCUAAGUCUGAUGUGAAAGCCUUCGGCUUAACCGGAGAAGUGCAUCGGAAACUGGAUAACUUGAGUGCAGAAGAGGGUAGUGGAACUCCAUGUGUAGCGGUGGAAUGCGUAGAUAUAUGGAAGAACACCAGUGGCGAAGGCGGCUACCUGGUCUGCAACUGACGCUGAGACUCGAAAGCAUGGGUAGCGAACAGGAUUAGAUACCCUGGUAGUCCAUGCCGUAAACGAUGAGUGCUAGGUGUUGGAGGGUUUCCGCCCUUCAGUGCCGGAGCUAACGCAUUAAGCACUCCGCCUGGGGAGUACGACCGCAAGGUUGAAACUCAAAGGAAUUGACGGGGGCCCGCACAAGCGGUGGAGCAUGUGGUUUAAUUCGAAGCUACGCGAAGAACCUUACCAGGUCUUGACAUCUUGCGCCAACCCUAGAGAUAGGGCGUUUCCUUCGGGAACGCAAUGACAGGUGGUGCAUGGUCGUCGUCAGCUCGUGUCGUGAGAUGUUGGGUUAAGUCCCGCAACGAGCGCAACCCUUGUUACUAGUUGCCAGCAUUAAGUUGGGCACUCUAGUGAGACUGCCGGUGACAAACCGGAGGAAGGUGGGGACGACGUCAGAUCAUCAUGCCCCUUAUGACCUGGGCUACACACGUGCUACAAUGGACGGUACAACGAGUCGCGAACUCGCGAGGGCAAGCAAAUCUCUUAAAACCGUUCUCAGUUCGGACUGCAGGCUGCAACUCGCCUGCACGAAGUCGGAAUCGCUAGUAAUCGCGGAUCAGCAUGCCGCGGUGAAUACGUUCCCGGGCCUUGUACACACCGCCCGUCACACCAUGAGAGUUUGUAACACCCAAAGUCGGUGGGGUAACCUUUUAGGAGCCAGCCGCCUAAGGUGGGACAGAUGAUUAGGGUGAAGUCGUAACAAGGUAGCCGUAGGAGAACCUGCGGCUGGAUCACCUCCUUU
rnacentral:rRNA from 1 species